rnacentral:rRNA from 1 species
UCCAGACUCCUACGGGAGGCAGCAGUGGGGGAUAUUGCACAAUGGGGGGAACCCUGAUGCAGCGACGCCGCGUGAGUGAAGAAGUAUCUCGGUACGUAAAGCUCUAUCAGCAGGGAAGAAAAUGACGGUACCUGACUAAGAAGCCCCGGCUAACUACGUGCCAGCAGCCGCGGUAAUACGUAGGGGGCAAGCGUUAUCCGGAUUUACUGGGUGUAAAGGGAGCGUAGACGGCACUGCAAGUCCGGAGUGAAAGCCCAAGGCUUAACCAUGGGACUGCUCUGGAAACUGUGGAGCUUGAGUGCUGGAGAGGUAAGCGGAAUUCCUAGUGUAGCGGUGAAAUACGUAGAUAUUAGGAGGAACACCAGUGGCGAAGGCGGCUUACUGGACAGUAACUGACGUUGAGGCUCGAAAGCGUGGGGAGCAAACAGGAUUAGAUACCCGUGUA